CUUUAACUAUAUUCAUUGUCAGCCAGUCCACACAAGUUUUGUUCCCAUACAUCCCUCUUCAGUUUCCAUACUUAAGUAAGAGUAUGUGAAAAGUAGUUAGGGUUGCCACCUUUCUUGGAAAAACAUACCGGCCUUGCUAAUUUGCAUAAUUAAAUAUGUAUGGGUGACAUCAUAUGAUGUAAAUCACAAGGAGUGGCAUAAGAGAAAAACGCUGUAAAAUCACCAAAAAACUACUUAGUUUGAUUCUGCUGUAUAGAUGGAUUCCUCCCAGUGCCCCAUGUCUCCCAGUGCCCUCAUGACUCAGUGCCCCCAUGUGUCGAUUACUCCAGGCCUCAGUGUUCCUAUGUAUCAGUGUCUCAGUGCCCCAUGUCUCCCAGUGUCCCCUAGUGUCGUGUCCCCAGGUCUCCCAGUGAUCCUAUGUAUCAGUGUCUCAAUGCCCCAUGUCUCCCUGUGUCCCCAUGUAUCCCAGGGUCCCCAUGUCACUAGGAAGACGGGGAGACCUGGGGACACGGGGAGACCUAGGGACACGGAGACACCAGUGACACUGGGAGACUAGGGGACUCUGGCUGGGACACAUGGG